rnacentral:lncRNA from 1 species
GGGGCUGGUGGCUCGUGCUUCAGUGUGGUGCAGUGGCACAAUCGGAGGACUAUUGGUGCGAUCGAUGAUGGACAGCAGUGGGUGGCCAGUGGCGAGGGCCGAAUGGCGACAAAAUCAAAGAAAAAAAGAUAAAAAAUAAGAGACUUCUUCAUGAUGGGUUUUCGGCGAAAUCGAUGGCUGACGGUGAGGUUUGGGGCCAUGGAGAGAAAGAGAAGAAGGAGAGAAAGAAGGGAG